rnacentral:tRNA from 1 species
GGGCCUGUAGCAUAGUCUGGAUAAUGCACCGGCCUUCUAAGCCGGGGAUCGGGGGUUCGAAUCCCUCCAGGCCCA